rnacentral:rRNA from 1 species
UGCGUAGGCGGCUUUCUAAGUCGGAUGUGAAAACUCUGGGCUCAACCCAGAGCCUGCAUCUGAAACUGGAGAGCUAGGGUUCUGGAGGGGAAAGCGGAAUUCCUGGUGUAGCGGUGAAAUGCGUAGAUAUCAGGAGGAACACCGGUGGCGAAGGCGGCUUUCUGGACAGAUACCGACGCUGAGGACAAAGCUAGGGGAGCAAACA